GACGAACGCUGGCGGCGUGCUUAACACAUGCAAGUCGAGCGUUAAGGCCCUUUCGGGGGUACGACGAGCGGCGAACGGGUGAGUAACACGUGGGUGACCUGCCCUCCAGCUCUGGGAUAAGCCUGGGAAACCGGGUCCGUAAUACCGGAUAUGACUCCAUGACGCAUGUUGUGGGGUGGAAAGCCUUGUGCGGCUGAGGAUGGGCCCGCGGCCUAUCAGCUUGUUGGUGGGGUGAUGGCCUACCAAGGCGACGACGGGUAGCCGGCCUGAGAGGGCGACCGGCCGACACUGGGACUGAGACACGGCCCAGACUCCUACGGGAGGCAGCAGUGGGGAAUCUUGCGCAAUGGGCGAAAGCCUGACGCAGCGACGCCGCGUGAGGGAUGACGGCCU
rnacentral:rRNA from 1 species